rnacentral:lncRNA from 1 species
UUCUACCCAGUAAUCGGUAGUUGUAAACCCGAUCUUGUCCCCUUGCAGAGUUAACCCUUGAUGUCGUUCAUCCUAACCGAUGAUGGUUACUCUCGCCCUUGGUUUUCUACCCAGUAACCGGUAGAUGUAAUCCCCUCUUUGUUGGUUAUCUUUAUCCAAUAUUCUUUAUUGAUAUUCCUCCAGUUCUGAGUAUAUCUCCCAGUAACCGGUGAUAUAUCUCUUGGAUAAUUGCU